AGGCUAUCGGAUUACUGGGCGUAAGCGCACGCAGGCGGUCUGUCAAGUCGGAUGUGAAUCCCCGGGCUCAACCUGGGAACUGCAUUCGAAACUGGCAGGCUAGAGUCUUGUAGAGGGGGGUAGAAUUCCAGGUGUAGCGGUGAAAUGCGUAGAGAUCUGGAGGAAUACCGGUGGCGAAGGCGGCCCCCUGGACAAAGACUGACGCUCAGGUGCGAAAGCGUGGGGAGCAAACAGGAUUAGAUACCCUGGUAGUCCACGCCGUAAACGAUGUCGACUUGGAGGUUGUGCCCUUGAGGCGUGGCUUCCGGAGCUAACGCGUUAAGUCGACCGCCUGGGGAGUACGGCCGCAAGGUUAAAACUCAAAUGAAUUGACGGGGGCCCGCACAAGCGGUGGAGCAUGUGGUUUAAUUCGAUGCAACGCGAAGAACCUUACCUACUCUUGACAUCCAGAGAACUUAGCAGAGAUGCUUUGGUGCCUUCGGGAACUCUGAGACAGGUGCUGCAUGGCUGUCGUCAGCUCGUGUUGUGAAAUGUUGGGUUAAGUCCCGCAACGAGCGCAACCCUUAUCCUUUGUUGCCAGCGUUCAGGCCGGGAACUCAAAGGAGACUGCCAGUGAUAACUGAGGAAGGUGGGGGAUGACGUCAAGUCAUCAUGCCCCCUUACGAGUAGGGCUACACACGUGCUACAUGCAUAUACGAAGAGAGCGAUCUCGCGAGAGCAGCGACCUCAUAAGUAUGUCGUAGUCGAUGGAGUCUGCACUCGACUCAUGAAGUCGCAUCGAUAAGUAUCGUAGAUCAGAUUGCUACGUGAUAC
rnacentral:rRNA from 1 species